CCAACCUUUAUCCAAUUUUUAUUCUCGUCCCUUUUUUUUUUUUUUUAAUCUUCCAUUUAAUUUUUUUAAAAAUAAUAUACUACUCAUUUUGAUUAUUUUUUUAAAAUAUAAAUUAGAAGCUAUCAAGUAUUUUGCCACUUAUGUUCGUAAUGGUCGAUAAUUAUUUUUGAAUAAGAUUCUUAAUCUUCGUAGGAUUGGUUACUCUAUCAAUUUUUUAGCUUCUCUUCUAUGACUUAAAUAGAGCUUUAUUAGAAUUAAUGUGGUUUAUUUUAUUGAAGUUAACAGAAAUUGAGACGAUUGAGACUUGAUUACGAAAAUAAAAGAAAAAAAAGAAAAGAAAUAUCAAAAAAUAUAUAUAAUAUGCCAAAUUAAAAAUAAUAAUAAUAAGAAAAAAUUUUAAAUACCUCCCUUAUGGUUUCAUUUUUUCUCACUUUAGUAUCUUGUGGUUUAAAGCGUAUCAAGUUAGUACCCUGAGGUUUCGCACUUUCUCACUUUAAUACCUUGUGGUUUAAGGUAUAUCAAGCUAGUACCAUGUGGUUUCACACUUUCUCACUUUAGUACCCUGUGGUUUAAUAUUUUAUUAAGAAAAAAAUAAAACCACAGGGUACUAACUUGAUACAAAAAUAAAACAACAGAGUACUAAUUUAAUACAAAAAUAAAACUAUAGAGUACUAACUUGAUACACUUUAAACCAUAGGGUACUAAAGUGAGAAAGUGCGAAACCACAGGGUACUAACUUGAUACAGUUUAAACCACAUGGUACUAAAAUGAAAAAGUACGAACCACAUGAAAAUUUUUUAAAGUUUUCUCUAAUAAUAAUAACAAAGGAUAAAAGAUAAAUGUUGGGAUACUGAUACAGCGAAUUAAGCUAGAAUACUUUUAGAAGCACCAACUCUUUGGUGCUUUUAGGUUUUAGCCCUUGGAUCUACUCCUUUAUUAUUAGUAGCAUUUGGAUCAAACACUAUUUUACCUACCAUUACUUAUCAUCAUCAUCUUAACUCUACAUCUUUCUAUCUAAUGGCUAAAAAUUCAAAAACACUAUUUUUUUGAUGCUUCUGAGAGUAUUCUAGCUCAACUCCUGAUACGGCAACCUUUUUUC
rnacentral:lncRNA from 1 species